rnacentral:rRNA from 1 species
UACGGGGGGAGCAAGCGUUGUUCGGAUUUACUGGGCGUAAAGGGCGCGUAGGCGGUCAGCACAAGUCAGUUGUGAAAUCUCCGGGCUUAACUCGGAAAGGUCAACUGAUACUGUGCGACUAGAGUGCGGAAGGGGCAACUGGAAUUCUCGGUGUAGCGGUGAAAUGCGUAGAUAUGAUGUAGAACACCGAUUGCGAAGGCAGCUCACUAAACAGACAUUGACGCUGAGGCACGAAAGCGUGGGGAUCAAACAGG